rnacentral:rRNA from 1 species
GAUCAUGGCUCAGGACGAACGCUGGCGGCGUGCUUAACACAUGCAAGUCGAGCGGAAAGGCCCUUCGGGUACUCGAGCGGCGAACGGGUGAGUAACACGUGAGCAACCUGCCCCAGGCUUUGGGAUAACCCGUCGGAAACGGGGGCGUAAUACCGAAUAUUACCACCGGGCGCAUGUUUGGUGGUUGGAAAGUUUUUCGGCUUGGGAUGGGCUCGCGGCCUAUCAGCUUGUUUGGUGGGGUUGGAUGGCCUACCAAGGCGACGACGGGUA